AUUGAACGCUGGCGGCAUGCUUUACACAUGCAAGUCGAACGGCAGCGGGGGCUUCGGCCUGCCGGCGAGUGGCGAACGGGUGAGUAAUGCAUCGGAACGUGCCCAUGUCGUGGGGGAUAACGUAGCGAAAGCUACGCUAAUACCGCAUACGUCCUGAGGGAGAAAGCGGGGGGAUCUUUGGACCUCGCGCGAUUGGAGCGGCCGAUGUCGGAUUAGCUAGUAGGUGAGGUAAAGGCUCACCUAGGCGACGAUCUGUAGCUGGUCUGAGAGGACGACCAGCCACACUGGAACUGAGACACGGUCCAGACUCCUACGGGAGGCAGCAGUGGGGAAUUUUGGACAAUGGACGCAAGUCUGAUCCAGCCAUUCCGCGUGCAGGAUGAAGGCCCUCGGGUUGUAAACUGCUUUUGUACGGAACGAAAAGGUCUCUCCUAAUACGAGGGGCUCAUGACGGUACCGUAAGAAUAAGCACCGGCUAACUACGUGCCAGCAGCC
rnacentral:rRNA from 1 species